rnacentral:rRNA from 1 species
GACGAACGCUGGCGGCGUGCUUAACACAUGCCGGUCGAACGGAAAGGCCCUGCUUUUGUGGGGUGCUCGAGUGGCGAACGGGUGAGUAACACGUGAGUAACCUGCCCUUGACUUUGGGAUAACUUCAGGAAACUGGGGCUAAUACCGGAUAGGAGCUCCUGCUGCAUGGUGGGGGUUGGAAAGUUUCGGCGGUUGGGGAUGGACUCGCGGCUUAUCAGCUUGUUGGUGGGGUAGUGGCUUACCAAGGCUUUGACGGGUAGCCGGCCUGAGAGGGUGACCGGCCACAUUGGGACUGAGAUACGGCUCAGACUCCUACGGGAGGCAGCAGUGGGGAAUAUUGCACAAUGGGCGGAAGCCUGAUGCAGCAACGCCGCGUGCGGGAUGACGGCCUUCGGGUUGUAAACCGCUUUCGCCUGUGACGAAGCGUGAGUGACGGUAAUGGGUAAAGAAGCACCGGCUAACUACGUG